AUUGAACGCUGGCGGCAGGCCUAACACAUGCAAGUCGAGCGGAUGAAGGGAGCUUGCUCCUGGAUUCAGCGGCGGACGGGUGAGUAAUGCCUAGGAAUCUGCCUGGUAGUGGGGGAUAACGUCCGGAAACGGGCGCUAAUACCGCAUACGUCCUGAGGGAGAAAGUGGGGGAUCUUCGGACCUCACGCUAUCAGAUGAGCCUAGGUCGGAUUAGCUAGUUGGUGGGGUAAAGGCCUACCAAGGCGACGAUCCGUAACUGGUCUGAGAGGAUGAUCAGUCACACUGGAACUGAGACACGGUCCAGACUCCUACGGGAGGCAGCAGUGGGGAAUAUUGGACAAUGGGCGGAAGCCUGAUCCAGCAAUGCCGCGUGUGUGAAGAAGGUCUUCGGAUUGUAAAGCACUUUAAGUUGGGAGGAAGGGCAGUAAGUUAAUACCUUGCUGUUUUGACGUUACCAACAGAAUAAGCACCGGCUAACUUCGUG
rnacentral:rRNA from 1 species